UGCUUUUGUUUGAAGGAGAAAGAAGGAAUUGAAACCAGGUCGAUUGAGUAGUAAAACACUAACCAGAGAAUGCACGUCCGGUCUGCAGCCUCUAAUUUUAUAAUAUUUAGUUCCCCUUUUGUCCUCAAUAUCAAGCUCAGAGGAAGGAGUACAAUUGUGUCAAUUGAACUGUCUAUGAUAUAUGUUUAUGCACUCUUACAGUUUGGUUGUUUGAGUUUCAUGAAACUGAGUUGCUCUUAGAUAAAAUCUGGGCAGCGGACAUAUUGGACAUAGUCUAUUGUUGGCCUAACGAGGUUUGCAAUGUAUGGCAUUCUGAUACCCUAAUUCCUUACUCUUUAAAGGUGAAAUUUGUUGUUUUAAUCUUCCUCUUUAUCACUUGGUUUGAAGGGUUGGACAUUUUGCAUAUUAAUGUUAACUGGAUCUGUAUCCAAGGGAAUUAAGGAAGUUUUGGUGUUAUUUUGAGUGCAGAGACAAAUAAAUAUCAAUCAAUGUGUGUGCGUGUG
rnacentral:misc_RNA from 1 species